AACAAACGCUGGCGGCGUAGCCUAACACAUGCAAGUCGAACGAGAAAGUCGGUUUCGGCCGAUGAGUAAAGUGGCGCACGGGUGAGUAACGCGUGGAUAAUCUACCCUUUAGUCCGGAAUAACUUGCCGAAAGGUGAACUAAUACCGGAUGACAUCCCGGGUUCUCCGGAAACCGGGAUCAAAGAAGGCCUCUGCUUGCAAGCUUUUGCUGAAGGAUGAGUCCGCGUACCAUUAGCUAGUUGGUGGGGUAAUGGCCUACCAAGGUUAUGAUGGUUAGCUGGUCUGAGAGGAUGAUCAGCCACACUGGAACUGAAACACGGUCCAGACUCCUACGGGAGGCAGCAGUGAGGAAUAUUGCGCAAUGGGGGCAACCCUGACGCAGCAACGCCGCGUGAGUGAGGAAGGUUUUCGGAUUGUAAAGCUCUGUCGAGCGGAAAGAAAUGCACGAUGGCUAAUAUCCAUCAUGCUUGACGGUACCGCUAGAGGAAGCACCGGCUAACUCCGUG
rnacentral:rRNA from 1 species